rnacentral:tRNA from 3 species
CGGGCUGUGGUAUAAAGGCUAUUACGCACGAUUCGGGUUCGUGUAAUGGCGGUUCAAUUCCGCCCAGCCCGA